GCUGUCUCUGGGUUACAGCUCACUGCAACACACAACGAGGGCCUCACAGGGCCUUGGUUACACCAAACAAACCAGAAACUGGGCCUGGCUCCUUCCUGCCACUGCCCGGGGGUCUCGUGCUGGCCCCAUGCAGCACCGAGCUUCACUUCUCUGCAGAGCGCUGAUCUCAGGGGCACAGGAAUGCAAGCAUCACCAGAGGGAUCAGACCUCAGGUCCUUCGAGCUCCGUCUCCUCUGCGACAGUGCCCAGCACCAGAUGCUGCAGAGGAAGGUGGAAGAACUAAGCAGCAGCAGAGGAGUGAGCCGCUCUCAGCUUCGGGGCUGAGGAGCUUCUAAAGGGCUGGGGCUGCCUUCUGGACCCUUCUCGGAGAUGAAACAGCAGCAGGAUUGUCCAGUCAUGGCUGGUUCAAUGCUCACAGGAGACCUGGGGAGUCGUCUCAUCCAGCUCCUCCUGAUCCUGCACCGGGCUUGGUACCAAGCAGAAGGAAGAAGUUCAAGAGGACCUAAGGGGCAACUGUCAGAGGAGGCCCAGCCUCACCCCUGUUAGCUUCACCCACCUUUUCUCCGCAUGAAGCCACUUGUUCUGGAGUGUCUUCGCCCCCACAGGAGCUUGCCAGGAGGUCUCAGGAAGUUUACCUCUGCCUUGGGCAUCCAAGUAGCGCUGAGGACUCCUCUCAUUGUCUGUCUGAUGUUCUGGCAGUGGCUGCUCCAUCUUGUGCCGCUCGUCUGAUUAAUGAGGAUCUUGGAGCCCGCUAAGAUUCAGUGGCAAACUCCCUCCCACAUCAAAUUGUGCAGCGCACAGAUUAUGAACCCUACCGAGGCUUGGAGCAUUUUCACCCCUACCCCUCUUCAGGGUCACUCAUCUCGGCUGUGAGUGAGAGGGAAACGCCAUGGGCAUCAGGUAUCUACCCCUAAGUGACAGGAUGCCGGAAAGCUCAACUUGUUUGGUAAAAACAUUUCUUGUAUGGUGAGGCUACAGCCUAAAAUCACCAACCACGCAGGUGACAUGAUUUAACAUCCAGGACUCUGUUCUGAAAUGCAAGGAUAAGCCCCCCGAGGAGGAUUUCCUUCUGCUGGUGGAGGAAGGGAAGUUAGUGGCAAGAACUUUUUCAGGCCAGUUUGCUCACGACUGAUUUGGCUGCUAGGACCACGGCCUCUGCCCUCGCUAUGCACAGCUGCUCAUGGCUUCAGUCUCUGCGGUUGCCUUGAGGUACAGCAGACCUUGCAGGGCCUGUGCUGAAAGGUGGCCCUCUUUGUAGUGCAGAUGGAUGAUAAACAUCUGAGUUUAAAGGGCUCCCAGGAGAUGCUGAAGUCUGAGGGUACAUACUCGUGCCCUUUCAUCCUCAGCAGUCCCACCGAUACCCCAGUCUUGCGCCUUGCCAGGGCCUAUCAAGGCAAGAGAGUAGGAGUUAAAGGCACAGGCUGACUCCUUCUUUUGCAGCAGCUCUUGGUCUACGUAGGCCCACUGGGGGACUCAGCAGCCAUUUUGAUGGGUCAGUUGAGAUGCCAGGCCGGUCUUCCUCAGUGCUUGGUCCCAAAUUGCAUCAGAUCAAAGGGUCUAAAGGAGUGUGGAAGUGGGACACACCCUUCAAUAUGAUUCUUCCCCUCCUUCCCACCCGCCCCUUCUUCUUUGGACCUCCUGGAGUGGCCUCAGUCUCCACUGUGGGUGGGAGCCAUAGAAUAGGUCCCACAGUGUCAUAGAGGAAUGGGGUUGUAUUCCUGCUCCUUCCUUAUCCCAAAAGCAAAGGGAGAUCUCAGGCCAAUUUUAGACCUAUGUCGACUCAACAGGUAUCUAAAAGAGAUGAAGGUUUCACCUAGUCACAUUGGCUGCCAUUACCCCCUGCCUGGAUCCCGGAGACUGGUAUGCCAUUCCCAGCUUAAACUGCCCCAUGGAAGUAUGUUCCUUUAGGAAAGGCCACCGGGUGUAUGAUAUUCUUGGCAAACCAAUCUCAUUCCCAGUUCAUAGUGCUGCCUUUCAGCCUGUCAGCAGCACCCUGGGGCUCUACAAAAUGAAUGGUGUUGGUAGCUGCCUUCCUGAGAAAGUUAGGGGUCAAGUUUGUCCCUAUCUGGCUGACUGGCUUGUGCGAGGCCUGUGAUGGGUUGGAUCACAGAACCCUCCCUUGGGAGCUGCCACUCAAUGUGCCAAGACCACUUCUGCCCAUUUUCCCUGCCAUUUCAGGACCCCAACACCCUGUUUUGCUGAGCUAGACACACCCGUCUGCUCCAACACAGACCCAGGGUCUGAAUUACUUGCCCCAGAGCUGCAGGUUUACCAGAAAGCA